rnacentral:tRNA from 1 species
GGAGGGAUGGCUCAGUGGUUAAGAGCACUACUGCUCUUCCAGAGGACCUGGGUUCAAUUCCCAGCACCUACCA